rnacentral:lncRNA from 1 species
AGAUCUCCUCUAGGUGCCAUGAGGGCGAUCAAAGUAGUAGAACUCGGGUCAAGUGCUGGAGACCCUUGGACUAAGAUCUGUACGGUGUAAAGUAAAGAAAAUCGACAUAUGCUCUUAUAAAAUAAGAGGUACAUUGUAGCAUGUAUUUCAUACCACAUGUGUUUAAGGACUGUGAUUGGGAAGCAAGUGAAUGAAUCCCUGCUUUAUUGCUGAAUGAGUCCCUGAAAGGUAUAGAAUCCUUUCAAUUGAUACCCUUAUUACUUUGACAGUAUCAUGAGGUGAAGAGUUAGUGUAUGCUACUUUGGCAUGUAUCCAAAGGUUAUGAUAAUGCGAUCUAAAAGUAAUAUCAAAAAAGCAGCUAAUUCUGAUCUAAGUGGUAUAUGGGUGAAAAGAAGAUCGUGUUUGAUAUAUACGCACUAUGCUUGUAUAUGAGACAUGACUGGUAUGAAGUUAUUUCUAGGAGCAUCACAAGUAUGGACACAAGGAAUACUAGAUAUCAUAGUGGUAAGACUUUGGGUAAUAGAGACUCAUGAGGGAUUAGAGAUGCCACAUAUGAGUAUAUAUAGAUAGAUCUAGGAAAUCUAAGGCACUUUUAUGAUAGAUUUGAGUGAUAAAAGGGUUGUAGUCUCUUAUGCUGGUCCUGAGAUAGAUUUUUAGUAUAAGAGCUCCCGAGCUUAAUGCCUAGGCGGUCAUGGCGACACACUCAAUAUGAAAAUCCAAGAGAAAGCUCUGUGUAGAUCAUCCCAUUAUGUGCGAGUGGGAGAUAUUAGAAUAUGAGAUGCUCAUGAUGGGCUGACCCAUAUCAUGAGCCAACCCAAGUUAAGUAUUUGAUUUAACUAUUUGAACUUUGGGAGUUUGAAUUCAAAGGGUCAUUAGAUAUUAGAUAAGGAUUAUCUAAUUAUCUCUUUCAUAGGGAAAACACCUUUUAAAGGGGUGUGGGAAGUUACGAGAGUUACGGACAAUCUCUUCUCUGGGAGAAAAGGUGAGCUAUACUUCCUUAGAGAAAAAUACAAAGUUCUUCGGGGAUUUAGGUGUGUUUGCUGUGGAAAACACAUAAGGUCCGGUUCGUGAUCUUGUGUAGCACCAUCUGAAUUUUUGUUCGUAGUGAAGAAAGAUGGCCAGAACGAUUUUGAAGUCGGCUUCCGCUGCGAUCUUCAUCUCCAUGUUCAGGUAAAAUCUCUAACACGAAUUGUUUGCAGCAAUCAAUGCCAUAGGAAUGGCUGGUGGAAUUUUAACAUAUUGGAAGCUUGAUGUAAUGGAGGUCACAUGCUUAUACAAUGGAACAUUCUCUCUCAACACAUUGCACCAAUAUAAAGCAUCCAGAAAUAGAAAGAAAUGGGUUGUUACAAAUGUUCAUGGGCCUCAAGAAGCUCAGCAAAAGCAGGAAUUUCUAAAUGAAUUUGCUAAAGUUAGGGCACUGUGGAAAGAAUCUUGGCUAAUAGUUGGGGAUUUCAAUAUCAUGCACUUCUCAAUAGAAAGAAAACAGGCAAUAGCUGAGCAACAUGCAACCACAGACUUCAAUGACUUCAUAAACACUUACCCUCUCAUAGAGAUUAAGCUAAAGCACCAGCUCUUCACCUGGUCUAAUCACAGAGAGAUACCGUCACUUGCCAAAUUAGAUCGAUGCUUGGCUUCUCUGGAAUGGUUAUCAGAUCACCCACUGUCAUUACCCUCACCUCUUCCUAAAGUCAUCUCAGAUCAUGUUCCACUUCUCUUACACCAACCACUGCAACGCUCGACAAGCAAACCUUUCCAUUUUGAGCAUUUUUGGUUUUCCAUAGAAGGACUUGAUGAUCUAGUCUUAACUUGGUGGAAAGAAGCCUCAUCAUCUAAUGAUGCAGCCCCCAACAUUAUCCAUAAACUUCGCUUCCUCAGAUCAAAACUUAAGCAGUGGAAUGAGGAAAAGAAUGGCAACAUCAUACAGCAAAAAAUAAUAUUAAGAGGCAAAUAGAAAAACUGGACUUACAAUAGGAAAACAGAAAUCUUUCAAAUAAAGAACAGACUGAAAAAACUAACCUCAAAGCAUCCCUUGAAGCAAUUCUUAUUUAAGAAGAAACCUUGUGGAAACAAAGAUCAAGGAUUAGUUGGUUAAAAGCCGGGAAUAAAAACACAAAGUUCUUUCACUUGCAUGCUAGCUCAAGGAAAAAGAAGAAUGCAAUUCUACAAGUUGAACAUAAUGGUCAAAUCAUAUUAGAGAAGGCACAAAUGCAGAAAGUGUUCAUGGACUACUACAAAACUUACUAGGAACAUCAAACUGUCUCAUUGAUGAUAGAAUAUAGAUUGACUAGGAAGCUCUUUACAGUAGAGAAGCAAUAGAUUUAUCAGAUCUGCAUAAGCCUUUCUCAGAGAAAGAAAUCUGCAAUGCUAUCUUCAAUCUCCCCAGAGGAAAAGCCCUAGGACCUGAAGGAUUCACCAAUGCCUUUUACCAGCAUUAUUGGGAGCUCAUUAAAGAUGAUAUAAUCAGGCUAUUUGAUAGUAUCUAUUCAAACUCUAUGGACAUAGCCAAGUUAAGUUACACCUUCAUUUCUUUGAUUCCAAAGAAACAAGAGAGUGCUACGGUCAAAGACUACAGACCCAUUAGUUUGGUUAAUGGGAUCCUCAAAAUCCUCUCCAAGGUCCUAGCAACAAAAUUAGCACCAUUCUUACACUCUCAUUUCAGAUUCCUAGUGGGCAUUUGUCAAGGGUAGAUGGAACUAUGAUUGCUACACAUGUGCUAUGGAGAUUAUACGGAGCUGUAGACAAACAAAAUAGAAAGGCUUGCUAUAUAAAUUGGACUAUGAGAAGGCAUUUGAUAACGUUGAUUGGAGCUUUCUCCAAUCAAUCCUCACAACCAGGCAUUUUGGUACAAAAUGGAGUGGCUGGGUUAUGGCCAUCUUACAAUAAAACAAGGCUGCACUUAUCAUCAAUGGAGAGCCGACAGAAUGGAUUAAAACCAAAAAANNNNNNNNNNNNNNNNNNNNAUUGGAGCUUUCUCCAAUCAAUCCUCACAACCAGGGCAUUUUGGUACAAAAUGGAGUGGCUGGGUUAUGGCCAUCUUACAAUAAAACAAGGCUGCACUUAUCAUCAAUGGAGAGCCGACAGAAUGGAUUAAAACCAAAAAAAAAUUAAACCAAGGUGAUCCAUUAUCUCCAUUUCUUUUUAUUUUAGCAACUGAUGUCUUGGCUCGUGUUCUAGAACAGUUGCUACAAAAAACUUGAUCAAAGGAGUAGGUGCAACAGAAGAAAUGACAAAUACCCACUGCAUCCAAUACGCGGAUGACACCCUGCUCAUUUGCAAGGCCAAAUAAAGGUAUGCCUCUAACCUUAAGCUCAUCUUAUGCUCUUUUGAAUUGCUAACAGAACUUUAGAUCAAUUUUGAGAAGAGCUCACUGAUUAGAAUAAUGAUGCCUGAUUCAAAAGUAAAUUAUUUUGCCAAUUUAAUGGGUUGUAUUGUUAAGACACUUCCUACUACGUACCUUGCUUUUCCAUCUGUCUGGAGCAGCUUGUCUACCUUCUCAGCUAUCACCUUUUGCCGCUCAGGUAUGAAACUUCUCUUCUUUUACCUGAAGGGACAGUCAUUCGGACUCACAUUCAAUCGGUGCAUGAUCACCAAAGGAUCGAUUCCUAGCAUGUCUGCAGGCAUCUAAGCAAAAACGUUGGCAUUUUUCUGUAAAAAGGAGGUUAGCUGGUCUUUUAUUACCUGAUCCAGACUUGACCCGAUCUGGACCAUAUGUUCCUAAUUUCGAUCCAUCAAGAGAAUUGAAAUAAGGUCCUUGACUGGUUCUCCGUGUUCUUUGGCCAGUUCAUCACAGGUAUCUAGUCCCUCAAUCGAAUAUGACUCAGUAGGUCAAGUUCCUUGGAGAGCAAUAUUAUAGCAAUGACGUGCCAAGCCUUGGCCUCCAUGAACUUCUCCGACUCUGUACACCAUCAAAAAUUUCAUCUUCAGGUGGUAUGUAGAGAUGAUGGCUCAGAGUGCAUUCCAGCUUGGUCGAUCAAGAAUAGCGUUAUAUGUCGAGGAUGCUCGGACGACCAAAAAGUCAACUUGGAUAGUGGACUAGACAGAAAAUUGGCCAACUUUCAUGGGUAGCAUGAUGACUCCUUCCACAAGGAUGGUGUCUCUGGUAAAUCCAACAAGUAGAGAGUCCAUCCUUUCCAGCCGAUCAGUAGGUGUUCCUAUCUUUAAGAAGGCAUCAUAAAACAAGAUGUCAGUAGAGCUUUCAUUAUCCAUUAGAAUAUGACGUACAUCAUAGUUUGUGAUAUUUAAAUUUAUAAUCAUCACAUCAUUAUGCAGGAACUAAAUUUCUUGGACAUCUUCUUCUAUGAAGGUUAUCAAUUCUCUAGUUCUCCACUUUUUCGCCACUUCCUCAUCUCCAUCGGGUCCUCCAACGCAAUGCCCCCAGUAAUGGUGUUUAUUACACCGACUGGGGGUUGGUCCUCCUGUGGUUGCUCCGUCGAUCGAGGAGAUCUCUGUCGCUACUCCCUCUUUCGUCGGAUGAAUCGAUCGAGGUGACCAUUCCUGAUGAAAUUCUCGAUCUCAUCCUAGAGUUGAAUACACUCUUUUAUGUCAUGGCCAUGGUCUUGGUAGUACAAACAAUACUUAUUUGGAUUUCUCUGACUUAUGAGUGUCCAUAGCCUUCUUGCCUCUGGGAGCUGUCCUUUGAUUUCCAUCAGCAUCUGAGUCCUUAGAGCAUUCAGUGGGGUGUAAUUAUUGUAUCUCCUUGGCGGUGAGGCAUACUGAUCCCUUCUCGAAGGGCUUUAGGGUGGGCAAUUUCGAGGAGGGAUCAUUUUUUGACUUUCGAGAUGGGGACCUGGAGUGCUACCGGAUUUUCUCCUUUCACUUUGGGGAGCACUCCUUAUUUUGCUUUCCCCCAACGAUGGAGCUAGUGGGGGCUUCAUCUUCUGUGAAGACUUCCUCCAUGCGGGCAACUUCUCUGCCCAGGCCAGCAUAUCGAGGUAGUCUCGAGGAUAGAUCUUCACUAGUGACCUCUUAAGUUCAUUCUUUAGGAGUCUGCUCAUCAUCGUAGAUAUUGCGAUCAAUUGAUCCAAGCCACGAACUUUCAGGAUGGCUGCAUUGAAGUGGCCAACAAAAGCUCAGAUCGACUCAUCCUCCUUCUACUUGAUGGUGUAGAUGUAGUCGGACCGCUUCUAUUGACGUCGGCUGCUAACAAAAUGAUUGACGAAAAACCAGCCUAGCUGCUCGAAGAAAUGGAUUGAGGUUGGUUUCAAACUGGCAUACCAAUAUCGGGCUGCCCCUUUUAGAGUUGUGGGGAAGUCUCGAUAAAAGAUAGCAUCGAUUGCUCCAUAGAGGAGCAUCACCACCCUAAAGGUCUCGAGGUAACUGACAAGAUCGACAGUCUCAUCAUAGAUUUCAAAUUGUGGAGCCUUAAAAUAUCGAGGAAGCAACUCCUGCAUGAUCCUCGAAUCAAAGGAUGGAUUGCUAUUAAAUCCAUCAUAAGGUAUCGAGGAUGUAUUGUAGAUCGUAUCGAUCCACUAAUCAAUUUUUUGAAGCCAUCAUUCAAGCGCAGGGUCUCGGGUAGUACAGGCCUCGAAGUGUUGGGGGGAUCGUUGAUCAGAGGUUGAAUCAUGCCUUGAUCGGGGACUCGAAAAUCGUCGCCAUCUUAGUUUCAGAGUUCUGAAGCAACUUUGAUGGGUCUGUCUCCUCUUCGGGCUUUGCGGGGGUACCCGCAGUUGUUCCAAUGGUGGUGGCUGUGAAGCUGGAUUCAGAGGUGACACCAUCGAAAGGGGUGCAGGGAUAGCCUGAUCAGACUGCGGCGCUAUCGAUGGAGGUUCAGGGAUGGUCUGGAUCUCCUGAAUAGCGAUCAUCAGAGUUUGAAUCUACUGAAAGAGCAGGUUGAACUGAUCCGCUAUAACCAACGUCAGCUGGAAAGAUCGAGGAGUUUUCAUCACCGAUGGCUGUACCCGAUUAUUGGCCUAACUCUCCAAUGACCAAGAGGUGAUGGUGUUGGUGUGGCAAGAUGAAACUCUCUUAAAUAGCAUGAUUCUUGUUGGUUCUUAUUGCUUUCGAUCCAUGCUCCUCCAAACGGGCCAAAAAUCUUUUCUCUAGCACCAAUCUAUUGGUGCGAGAAUCCAUACAGCAUCAGGACACUGAAGUGGACGACGAGAUAGGCCUCCUGGGGGUAUGGCCUGCACAAAAGUUCUAAUCGGAGAUUGCUCCAGUGAGGAUCCUCCAAUGCUUAAUUUAAAACUCUCGUUCAAUAGAUGGAGGAGCGUGAGAGGCAAAAUAAUGGCUACUUUUUUUGAGAUCCUCUUCGAGCCUCCUUUAUGGGAGAAAAACUAGAGCUUCAGUUGGUAAAUUGGUUGACAUGAUCCUGCUUGAUCAGAAUGCGACUUGCAUGAGGUGGCAGGAUUAUCGCUCGAGAUUUUCAAGGUAUGGUGGUUGUGUUUGCCUUAUUAGUUUUGCGAUAGUUGUCUCUCAGCAGACAUCAAAUUUUGAUUUGGGUCGCUAACUAGAUGUCAUCGAGAUGGGAAUUGGUCGGCUACGACUAAGAGUCAAUCACCUUGUGUCAUCAUCGGAUGGAGGAGUCUAGAGCUAAGAUCUGUUCAGUAGUGUAAAGUUGGUCGAUCGAAUGUGAUUAGCUGAUGACCAUCCUUUAAUCAGAUUGAUCUGGCCAUUCAGAUGUGCCUUCGAUCCGUCAGCCCAACCUGUAAGAGUCAGCUGAUAAGGAAAUAUCGGUGAUUAUGCACAUGGGUUGACGAGCGAUAGCGGCAGGCUUUCAUCUGUUCGAGGUGCGGAGUGUUGACUAGGCAAACGUUGAGAAUUGGUCGGUAAAAGUUAUAGCCAACCAUGAGUUGGCAAAGACUUCAGUAGGUAGACUCAUCGUGUUUGGAUAUCCUGGGCCUUAGGCUUUUUCAUAUCAUCGGCCCAUGUAGAAUUUCUCCAACAAAUACUAUGAAAUAAAUCUAAUAAAUCAAAUUAAUUAUCUAGAACCCUCUAUCGAGGUUCACCAAGGUCCACCCUAGUCCCAAAAUUUUUUUCCUUCUAGAAUUUUCCAUAACCCAUCUAAAAAGAAAAUAAAUAAAUAAAUAAUUUAUUAAUCAAUUGAUUACAUAACUAGAAGAGAGAGAGAUCAUACCUUCUCUUCUUCUCUUCCUCUUCAAAAUAGGGGUUCAUUCCCCUUUCUCUCUCUCUCUCUUUUUUCGAUGGUGGUGAUGGAAGGCCGGGACCGACCACCUUGAUGGCUCCUAACAAUGGUGAAGCCAUGGCCCAUCAGUGGCCACGAUCGAUGGGAUCGGCAAAAAUAAAAAUAAAUAAUUAACUAAAUAAUAUUUUCAUAAUCUAUCUAAAGAGAGAGAAUAUAUAAUUAAUAAAUGAUCAACUAAAAAAAAUAAUAAACCAAAAAAGAGAGAGAAAAAUCCUCUUUUCUUCCUUUUUCUCUUCAAAAUAGAGGGUCUACUCUCCUUUUCUCGCUCACCCACUCAUGGCCGUGCAAGGCCAAGAUCGACCACCCAUGGCGACCCUCAAUGGCGGUGAAGUCAUGGCCACGACGAUGGCCCCAACGAUGGUUGUCGGUGAUGAUAGGUGGAACCAAAAAGAAAAUAGGGGCUGCCCUAUUUGGGAUGUAUCCAGCAGUUUGCCAACUUCAAUCAAGCGUCGGCGAUGAGGAAAUGAGCAAAAGAAAAAGAGAAAGAAAGGAAAAGGAGCUUACCUCACUCUGACGGCCAAAGAAGUGUUUUGACAAUCCCUUUCCUAGCAGCAACCCAUGGAAAAACUUUGAGAAAUCCUAGAUGAUCUACAGUGAUUUCUCAAGCAAAAUUGGAGUGGAGAUCUAAAAGAGGGGAAGGGGAUUCUUAUGGACAAGUUUCUUGGCCCUUUGUAGACUCCGUCAUCUUUAAUUUUUAACGAAAUCAGGAGAGAACUGGAGUCCUUUUAGGAGUCCUCUUCUCUAUUCUUUUUUUUUUUGUCCUGCAUUAAGAUUCAUGCAUAAGGAAAAAAAUCUAGGUCCUUACAUUUAUCUACCAUUCAUGUUUAAGUUUGAGAUAUUUUAUACUCGAACUCUACUGACUACAUAUGCUAGAGUAAGAUAAGACACAUAUUUAAUAAAAAAAAUAUAGAUAUAUAAUCUAUUAAAGAUAUAGAUUGAUUGUUUUAUUUGAUCUGUACUUUGGGUCGUAUCAAUUUUUCUAAACCAUCGAUCGAAAAGAAUCCUAUCUUGGGACUAUAAUUUAAAUUCACUUGAAAUUCUUCUAACGAGUAAAAAAAGACUCUUAAAUAUUUAGGGUGCAUUUGGUUAGCUCUUAAAAAUAUAUAUAUUUUUUUAUUUUUUAAUUUUAAAAAAGCAAAAAUCAAAAUGUAGCAUUUGAUAUUAAUUCAAAAAUUAAAAAAUCAAAAUCAAAAAAAUUAAAAAUAUUUAAUCUAUAUGAAAAGUAUUUUUUUUUUACUUUCGAAAAUUUGCUUUUGCUUCUUUUCAACUUAUCCUGACUCGUUCGACCCCCUCCCCCUUCCCCUCCCUUUGGCUCUCUGCCUUCCACACCACUGUCACCUCUGGUCAUGCCGAUUUUAUCUCCCUCCUCACUGGAUCUAACCCCAAUCCGACCUGGGCCGGCACCAUCGGACCUGACGGCCAGAUGCCUGUCUAUAUCACGAUGGUAGGAGGAACCUCAAUGCUGUCCGCCUCUGCAUCACCUCCGACGACAACGAUCCCAAACAUGCUGACUCAUGCAGGUGGACCCCACUCCAUUGCACUGCUUCGGUAGAUAUCUGGAUGUUGUCGAGUUCUUGAUCGAUUGGUCCGCCUACGACGCUCGGCUCGUGCGAACGAAAGACGGGCGAAAGACACCAUUCGACCUCGCCAUCGACUGGGGCCACUCGGGGCUCUAUGAUGUACUCGAAUUGAGUGACGCGCUUCACCAGGUGGUGCAUGGCAGCAACGUCGCUGAUGUGUGGAGCUGCCUGGCGUGAGGGGCGACGGUGGAUGGGGGGGACCAGAAUGGAUGGAUGGUGCUCCAUCAAGCGACGUUCAAGAGGCGGAUCGAGAUGGUAAGGGUGCUGAUCGAUGGUGGAGCGCAACUGGAUGCAGUGGAUCAAAAGAGUUUUUUUGGAUAAAAUUAUUCAUGUCGCUGAGAGGGCUUUUUUGGCUUCUUCACUUUCUCCAUUUGAUAAGAAGUGGGUGAUAGUUACCAAACAUAUUUUUUAUUUUUUUAUUUUAUUCCGUAAUAAAAAUAAAAAAAUAAAAAUUAUUUUUAAAAAUAAAAAUUUAAAAUCAAAAAGUGUAACCAAAUGCAUCCUUAGACAUCUAGAUCUUUCUUGAGCUCCCAGAAACCUGCAUUUUCCACAUUUUGGGAUGGGGUUACGUUUAUGUGACCUUUCUAUGGUAAAGUAAUCUACAACCAGAAAGGAACAUUGUUCGUAAUCUUUUAUUUAAUAUCAUUAUGAUCUUUAAUUAUUUGAUAAAUUUUUUAUAUAUACUUUUAAUAAAAUAAGUUGCUAUAAAUAUUAUAGAAUUUGAGGCACAAAAUGGAAUGUACUUAAUAAUUUUUUUUUGUUCAAGUACAAAUAGUUGACAGUAGUCUACUCUAUCAAUAUAAUAAACUACUACAUGUUCACCUUAAAAUGCACUCUGACAAAGUAGAAUAAAAGUCAAACCUAAACUAACUAAAUUCAAAUGCAGUGAAAAUAAACAAAAUCUAUCUCAAUUCUCUUUUGCGUGGACUCAUUUCUAUUUUCUCAAAUACUCAGAAAAUGUAUUUAUGUUCACUAAUUUUAAUACUCAAUUUAUUUUUCUCAAUUCCCUUCUGCAUUCCUUCUUAUGUUGUUCCGAUGGAUGUGAAAGAUGGUCCUAUUCUCUAUUUACAGAUAAAAAAAGUGAGUGAGAAUGAACAUUAGGCACCUUUUCAUUAGAUGCAUCCCUUUAUCAUAUGAUCUAUUUGAUCACCAAGAUUUGGAUCUCUUAAGAAUCAUCGUAUCAUUAGGAGAGUAUUUGGUUAGGGAGAGUGAAGAUUUGAAAUCGAAAUCGAAAUGGAUGACUUUCAUUCCAACCAUUUGGUUGGGAGGAGUCCGACUAAUUCCGAUUCCAGAGUGGAAUGGAAAUGGGAAUGGAUCAAUUUAUAUAGAACGCAACCCCUAUUCUCUUUUAUGGAUUCAAAUUUUCAUUUUAAUUCUGAUUCUAAUUUUGAUUCCGAUCAUGAACCAAACGCUUCGAAGAAUUUGAUCAUUUCGAUUUCAAUUCCUGUCAUUCCGAUUUUCAUUUUCAUUUCGAUUUCGAACCAAACACCCCCUAAAUGUAUUAGAUUAAAUACAUCAAGAUGCAUCUUUUCAUUAGAGUACCCUUCAAAGAGAACAUAUGCUAGUUUUUUUGUAUCUAAUAAAUAGAUCGUUGCCAACUGGUUGUAUUUAUACUUUAAAAGGAGUGUCUUCCAUAGGGUGCCUUGAACUGAUUAACAUUUAUAAAAUAAAUGUCUAUGCGGCCUAUUCAUAGUAAAGUAAUCCAAAAUUGGAAAGGAACAUUGUUUGUAAUCUUUUAUUUAGUACUAUUAUUAUUAUCUUUAAUUAUUUAAUAAAUAAUUUUUUAUAUAUACCGUAGAAAAAAUAAAUUAUUAUAAAUAUAGUCAAAUUUUAGGCGCAACAUAGAAGUCACUCCUUUUAUAACAUUUAUAACAACUUAGUUUAUUUGCUAUGCCAAAAGCUAUUUGUUAAAUAAUCAAAGAUGAUGAUAAUAUUAAGUAAAAGAGUUUCAUCAAUUUUGGAGUAGAAUCUUUUAUAUUUAUUAUUAUUAUUAAGGCAUCUUUAGAUGAUUACAUCUCUACCAUAACCAAAAAAUUCUAUAAGUAGAAUUUCUGCCACUAGCAACACUAGAUGUACUAAUGAUUGAUCCUAUUAGGGUUAUAUUCUAUUGCUAAAAAUCCUAAUCCUAGUGCUUUAGAUGGGAAACUAGUUAGGAAACUACUACCUCUAAAAUUGAGAAUUCGACUACUAAAACUAUAUCAUAUAUUAGAAAAGAUUUCAUUUGCCAUGAUAGAAUUUUAUGUGUACUUUCUGAUAAACUAUGAUAUAUGUUGCAAUGCCUCCACCAUACAUAAUUUAUAAAGUAUAUUAGAAUAAAAAUAUGAUAAAGAAGAUGAAUAUUUAGAAGAAUACCAUUCAUGAAGUUUUUGAUGUAUAAGAUGACAAAUAAAAAAUAAAUUUUACAACAAAUUUAUUAAUUAUAAGCAUUGGUUCAUGGUACAAGCUUUAAAACAAAAAUUGAUGAGAAAUUUCUAAUAUCUACAAAUUCUUUUGAAAUGACCUCCUAAGUAAAAAUCUCUGUACUUGAAUAGUUAAUUGAAGAUACCAUUAACAGGUUGAUGGGACCAAACUCGUGAAUGAAAGAUGCACCAUCUCUUAUUAUUGAUCAACACAAAGCAACGUGACCUAUGGAGCCUAAAUUGGUGCAGCCAUUGAAGAACUCUUGGAGGAUAUGGAGCAACUCUUUUUUUGAAGCGUGGUAGAAGUGUCGGAAAUGCAAUUAAAAGCCAUUGGAACCAUGAGCCUUUGCACCUCAAAUGUCCAAAAUAACCCAUCUAAUUAUCUUAAUCACCAAAGCUUGGAAGAUGGAAUCAAGAUUCAGAUUAGUGCAAUAAUACAAGGAAAUCAAUGAGAGUGGGGCUGCUCUUGCUUUGAGUUUCAUGUUCCUAAUAUGCUCACUAGGAGAAGUUAUUAGUUGUAUUAGGUCUGCCACCUUAGCAGUGGAGUGGACCCAUCCGACUAUGAAGCGACGUGCAUACUCAUGGAUAAGAAAGAUAGGUGCAUCAUGAUGGACUUCGUCCAACCAAUAUCAGACCCUUGUGAGUCGACCCUAAAGAUCCGAUUUCUCGGUUGGUUCUGAGUUGGUAAUGCGAACUCGUUAGCAGUCACAAUUUUGAGUCACCAGAAAUUUGACGGUGAAUACACCUAUCUAAUGCUUAACACGUAAGCAGGCUUAUAACGGCUCCAUUGCCUGGGGCAAGCAUAUAAAUAUAAAGAAAGGCCCAUCCCGUUCGCAUAAACCAGACUUCAUGGACGUCGGUAAAGAUGCCUCUGCCUCCUCCCUCUCUCCCCGUGCUUUCUCUCUCCUUGAGAGAGGAGGCGAGCAAUCGAUCUCCUCCUCCUCUCUCUCUUUCCCUUUUUUUUUCUUUUUCUUCUCCGGCUUCUCCUCCUCCUCCUCCUCUUCUUUUCAUUUCGUAUGUUGAGGCGAUGAUUAUAGAUGGCUCGCGAAGGGAUUGUUCUUCUUCUCCCAUUCUUUGUAUGCCUCUUCUCCCUUCUUCUCUAGCGAUAGGGCGAGCAGCAGCCAUUGUUAGUUGGGGAGGAGAAGAAGACACGGUGGGAUCUUUUUCCUAGAUCGGCUUAUAGCUUUCUUUCUCAAGAUUGGUUAGUCUUCUCUUUUUUCUUCUCCCUCUACUUGUUCUUGGAGUUCCAGGUGAUAAUGGCAGCGACGUCGUGCUUCUUGUUAUCUUUUUCUCUUUCUUCUUUUAUGUUUCUUCUCUCUUGCUUUUUCCGUUCUUCUUUGUUUCCCAAAUUGGAAGAGCGGCAUUGCUUUUAGAUUCUAUAAAGGAGGCCGUGAUGAUUCUUGGACGAGUGGUUUUGCGACGUUUGGUGCAAAAAAUGACUUGACGGCGAGGCAAUCUUGGAUGGUCUACUGCUGUUCUUCUACAGGCAGCCGUUUGCAGCCAAUUUGAUUUAUUAGUUGCAGAUCAAUUGGUGAAUCUGGCCUCCCUCUUCAUCUUCGCCUUCUCUACUUUCUAAUUGCUUUGUUUUUUUUUCUUUUUUCAAGAUUCUUUUUUUAGGGUUUCUCGAAUUUCUUUACUAUGGUUAAUAUUGCCGCCGAUGAAUCCAUAACAAAUUAGAGUUUCAAGAACCCAAAUCCUCAAAUUGCUAUUUAGUCUGUCGAAAAAUAAGGAUUUGUCUUGCGACCUUAGGUUUUUAUGGCAUUCGAGGGAAGUACCUGAGUUGCUGUCUUCUUUUAUGUUUCUGCUCUCUUGCUUUUCUCCUUCUUUAUUUCUCAAGUUGGGAAAGGGGCAUCGCUUUUGGUUUCUGUACAAAGAGGCCCUGAUGAUUCCUGGACAAGGGUUUUGCUAUGUUUUGUGCGGAAAACAACUAUUUCUUGACGGUGAGGCAAUCUUGGAUGGUCUGCUGCUUUUCUUCUGCAGGCAACUGGUUGCAGCCAUUUUGAUUUUUUAGUUGCAAAUCAAUUGGUGAAUCAGAGCUUCCCUCUUCAUCUUCCCCUGCUCUGCUUUCUACUUACCUGGCUUUUUUUCUUUUUUUUUUUUUUCCAAGAAUCUUUUCUUUAGGGUUUCUUGAGUUUCUUCACUAUGAUUAAUAUUGCUGCCGAAGAAUGCAUAGCCAAUUAGAGUUUCAAGAAUCCAAAUCCACAAAUUGCUAUUUAGUCUGUUGAAAAACAAUGAGUUGUAUUCUUGACCUUAAGUUUUCUUGGCAUUCAUGGGAACUAUUUGAGUUGCCACUGGCAACAAUUGUUUUGAUCUUCUUCUCAUUGUUACUUUCUCCUACAUUCUUUAUUUUCUUUCCUUCUAAGGAAAUUGCGAUAAAUGAGAGCUUGGAAACUCAGAACUCGAAGAAAAAUUCUGGGUUGCUAUACCAAGCUACCAUUACCCACCAGAGAUGGUUUCUCUACACCACUGCAGGAGGUGCACAGAAAUUUCUCUAUAGCUGGUAAGGUUACUUGCUUCCCUGGAAUCGCCUAACAUUUUUCCCAAAUAAUUCUCAAGAUCUGAGUGAAAAAAGUGGACUUUUGCUUGUAACAUGAUAAGACUAAAUGCUGAACAAUUUUAAUAAAUCCAACCAUUAUGUUCAGGUUAAAGCUUGUUAGCUAAAGUUAAAUUAGAUGAUAUAAUCCAUUAUUACUUUUAAAGCUGUAUAUUGCUGCAUAGAUAAGGUACAUUGCACUAUGUUUAUUAAGUUGACAUGGUGUUCUUCUGAUUACUGCAAAAAGAGAGACUUCAGGCUAUUGAUUGCAAAUUUGAAGGUACUUGUUUCUUUCAUUCUCCUUGUGUCACAAAAAUGUAGGACCAUUGUGCAUAACAUGUUUCCUUGCUAUAUACGAGUGCCAUUAGGUUGUGAGCAAUACAUACUUGUAAUUAACCUGGGCAUUUCUUGUUUGUUUAUUGAUGUCAAUGUGGUUGCUUAUGAAACUAAUUUACUUUGGAGAGGAUUAAUCUGGAAAAAGAGUUGUUAAAUAGGAUCAUAGUGGCACUAAAUGUAUCCUAUAAGAAUAAUGAAUGGGGAUGAAUUGUUUGGAGGCCAGCCUCAAAUAAUUAAGGAAAGAGUUUUUGGCUAUGAUUAUGGUGAUCUAAGAGAAUCUAAAAUAGUUUUGAGUGAUGUAUAAAUACCACUAGGGUACGAACUGGUCUUGUACUGCAUGUUUUAACUAGGUACUUAUUCAAGAUGAUUAUUACUCUAAAGGAUUAUUCUAUCUAUCCCUGAACCAGUAGAUGCUGGUCAUAAUUGAGCCGAACGAAGUAGAAUCGGUUGGUUUGACUCAGUUGGGACCGGUUUGGACUGGUUACUGCUGAGUCUUGAACCUAAUCCUCAUACCAACCUGGUUCCGCAUUUUAUAUGGGAUACCUUGAACUGGAUAGGACCGGUUGCUUUGAGAAUCUUGCCUAAUACAGUGCUGAAAGUGGAUAUGAACAAGGACUCUUUAUUUUUGAUAGAAUCAUGAGGUAUCUUAAGGACUUGAAUUUUAAUGACAGAAAAAGAAAAGAAUGGUUGAUUGAAUCUAUUCCUCAACUAACAAAUAUGAAUCAGGCUCUUCUUUAGGCUUGCUUUGCUUUAUUUUCUCAGCGAUGUUCAACAUAAUGUAAUCAGUCAGGUUUAUUAUUUAGAUCCGAUGGAAUUAUUCCUAAGUCUUGUGCAUGGGUGGUGUUACGUGGAUAGGUGUAGUUCUGUGUAUGAAUAACAUGGAUCUAAUUAAUCUUUUUUUUUUUUUGUAAACUGAAAAGAUGUACCCUUUGAACUUCAAAAAAAGAAAUGAGAUUUGCAAUUGAUGUUCACCUUCCAUAAUAUCCACAGAAAAUAUAAAAUUACAAACUAUGAACCUAGUCCAAAAAUAAACUGAUUACUUGCCUUGCCACUGUCUAGCAUGAUGGCAUGUACAUGGUGGCAACUUUUGGAGAAAGCCCUUUUAGUUUCAAACCCGUGGAAAGCUCUGCAUCCAUAGUACUGAGCAUCAAAUGUUAAUGUCGUAUAUUAUGUUAAAUUGUUCAUGUGUUGCUGAAAUGUUCUGACCAGAUCUUAAUUUGAAAGUACCUGUGGGUUGUGAGUUGGGAGGGAACCCCUCUAAGGGGUAUCUUGAGUCAUAUUCAGCUUUUCAGUAAACCUUAUUUAUUUAUUUAUUUAUUUAUUGCAAUAGACCUGUUUAUCUAGUGCUCAAGGUUAUGUUAACUUGAUAUGUAAGACAUAAGCUUCAAAAUGGUCUUUAUAACGGUUCCAAGAUUUAGAAGGAGCAUGGGCAGGCAUACCACAUGACAGGUAAUCACCUUCUCAGAGAGCUGGUUCUUGUAUGUUGGUAAACAAGGCCUAGCCUUCUACCUCUCCUUGUCGCCUCGCUUUCUACUUAAGAGAGGAGGUGAGCAUCUACAUAGAUUUCUCAGCUACCCUUCACACACCGUUCCUUAUCCUUUUCUUCAUCUCUUUUUUGUGUGUAUAGAUGUAUUUAUGUUUGUAUAUUGAUGCCACAAUGGGUGACUUCCAGAAUUGUUCUUCUUCUCUUCUUUGCAUGUCAUUUUCCCUAUCACUUGGCGAGGCAUUUCUGGAAGGUCUGCUAUACUGCUGGCUACUGAUCUGUAGCCAUUGCAAGUUGGAUAGGUCAUGACCUGAGGAAAAGAGGAAUCUUCUCCUCUUUUUUGUGUGUAUAUAUGGGUUUAUGUAAUGUAUAUUGAGGCAAUGAUGGGUGACUUGUAAAAUUGUUCAUCUUCUCUUCUUUGCAUGUCAGCUUCUCUAGCAAUAGGUGAGGCAUUUAUGGGAGGUCUGCUAUUCAGCAGGCAACCGAUUUGUGGCCAUUGUUAGAUGGAGAUGUCAUCAGCUGAGGAGAAGUGGAAGAUGGGGUGGGGGAUCUUUUGGUCUGUUGAUUUAAAUGUUCCUCUCAGCCACUACAAGCCCAAGGCCCAUGAUUGUCUAUUUAUUAUGAAAAGGCCCUUUCUCUUUCUUGUUGUUGCCAGACCAUCAAAAUUAACUGAGCAGCUUGAGCUCUCAUACCUAGAACAACUCAGAUAAAGCUUUGUUCAAAGCUAAACAAAGUAAAGUGGAACCAGAAUGAUAGGCUUAAAAUAAUUUCGAUUGGAGCCAGAAGUUGACCUAGCUCAAAAUAAUGGUAAACAGAUCAAGCUUGAUCUCUGGGUUCCAGCUUGAAGUUAAUAUCAUGUGCUGUUUGAUUAGACCAAAGCUUAAUCAAUCUCUGCUCAUUCGUCUCUGUUUCUUUUGGUUCCUAUUCUUUUUUCCUCAAAUUGGGAAAGUGGCAUUGCUUUUAGGUGUAUCCGAAGAGGCUGUGAUGAUUUCUGAAUGGGGAUUUUGCUACAUCAUGAAGUGGAAAACUAUUUUGAGCGGCAAGUCAUGGUCUGCUGCUGUUUGUCAGGAAGCAUAUUGGAGUUGGUUUGAUGUAGUUGCAGAGUGCUCCGAAUUAACAUAAUGCCGGAUAAAAUGGUGAAUUUGAGUCUCUUUCAUUUGCUUUUUAAUCUCUUAUUUUUUGAAGAUUUUGUGUUUUUUUAAAGAUUUCUUUAAUGUGAUAACUUUAAUUAAUUUUUUUCUGACGACUUUUUCUGUGGUUCCUGAAGAAUGCAUAGGAUUUGGAGGAUAAUGAAAGUUUCAGGAUGAGGAUGGUAUCAAUAAAGGUAUGAUUUUGACUUUGAGAACCUAAAUUCUCAAAAUUUGUAUUUUUCUUGUCAAAAAUUAGGAAUUGUUUGCUAAAUACUAGAAUGUAUAACACUUUUACAGGUCGUGAAUCUACUCCCAUUCCUACCUCAUUUUCUCAGUUUUCCUGAUUCUUCUUUUUUAUUUUAUUUAUUUUUUCCCAUAUAACAAGGGUUUUGGUCUUGCAUGGAUUUCUUUUUUCUCCAUUAUUCUCUAUUUUCCUAAUUUUCUUCAAGCAAUAGUAUGAAAAAAAGACAAAGUAGCAUGCUUAGAGGCUGACUAGGGUUGGUGACAACUUCAAGUUCUAUUUUUUGAGCUUCCUUUAUGUCGGAGUGGGAGUGGCAGAUGCGGAGGUAGAAAUUUCUCUAGAGUUGGUAUUAACUAAGGUAAUCUGCUUGGACUUUCUUAUGAUGAUGUCCUUAAUCUUGUUAAUAGGUAUCCAAUCAAUCUAUUAUUUAUUCUCAAGCAAUAGAGUGGGCAGCAGCCAUUAUUAGAUGGAGAAGGAGAAGAAGACAUGGUGGGAUCUUUUUCGUAGGUUGGCUUCUAGUUUUCUUUCUUAAGAUUGGUUGGCCUACUCCUCUUUCUUCUUCCUUGUUGGGUGGAUGUCUGGCCAGGACACCAUCUCCUAAAACAUUUUCGGUACUGCGCGAUGCAGCAGGAAAAAAAAACAAAACAAAAAAUAAUCAAAUACGUAGAUCAGCCACAAAAGGGUUCGCCUCCACGGGACAUGUAAACUUCACUAUGAAAAAAAAAUUUACAAGAGGAGAUCUCACCCUCAACCCUCGUACACCCAAUUUCUCCCUCACAGAAAGUUCUCCUCACAAAAGUUCUCUCCCUUGGAAGACCCUCCUGAACCCCUGAAGCGAUCGGCAUCUGCCGUCCAGGAGCCUCUUGCUCCUUUCUCAGCGAUGCGGUCUCUCUCUCUUCUCAGGUUGGUUUUCGUGCGACCACAGACCUCACGGGUUUUCGUGAGGUAAAACCAAGCCGCCACACGCUGUUUCAGGUGUUCUCAGCCUUUUAAUGGCUUAAACACCAAUUAGGUUAAGAUUAGGAGUCCCAAACAACCCCAAAUAACUCCCAGGACCGUUAGAUUAAGAUCC